rnacentral:precursor_RNA from 1 species
UUCAAUUUGCCCAAACACUCCUCGUGCAUGAAAUCAUCUACCUCAGCACCAAUAAUAAUCUUGAUUAGAUGCCCCGUCGCAAUUAAUUGCCGUAUGCUCAUCAGUUCUUUCUAAGCAGAAACAAAUUAAUUAAGCUUGAUUCGUACAAUGCCCUUCUCGUCCUCCUUUUUUUUUUGCUAAAUUUAGUUUGUUAUUGUUUGAAAAUAGUUCUACAAGUAUUUCUGGUUCAUUUUUGUGGUAUUACAUGCGCAGCGUAGUACUUGCAGGCACAGUGUACGUACUUUCUUUCUUGUCCAGGACAGUACUGAGAUCUUCGUCUUCUCCGCUUCUCAAAUGAUGGGCGCAUUGGCUUUACCACAUCUCAAAUGUGUCAUGGAUUUGUCUGUAAAACAUAAUGUAUUGUUGCUUAGAUCAUGUCCAGUACUUCAAAAAAACACUGAUUGUAUACUGUAUACUGCACUGUUUUGAGUUUGAAUAUGUGUAUGCAGCAUCGGUAAGCUGCUAGAUUAUACCACAAUAAAAAUUGCUCUGGGACUUAAAAAAAGCUAGCUUUACUGGUAUAGCUCAUAUGCUAUAGUGUUGUUGAUGUGACAGGAGUCUCACAGGGAGCCGUCGCAAUUUUUCACAUUCUCUAAAGCGAAGGACAACUGAAGAGUGAAGAGGCAUUAUGUUAUUUGUGAUUUUGUGUUUAAGAUAUACUUUAUUUCUCUUUGCAAUCCAUGUUUCAGGAUACACCAACACUACUUGACAUGAAAUUGUUUUUACGUAUUUGGAUACAAUACAAUGUAUUAGUUCUGUAAACUUCUUUUUAAAUAUAAUUACCUUUUACUUCACCAGCGGAAAAUAUAAAAAAAA